rnacentral:rRNA from 1 species
GGGUUGUGAGGUUAAGUGACUAAGCGUACACGGUGGAUGCCCUGGCAGUCAGAGGCGAUGAAGGACGUGCUAAUCUGCGAAAAGCGUCGGUAAGGUGAUAUGAACCGUUAUAACCGGCGAUGUCCGAAUGGGGAAACCCAGUGCAAUUCGUUGCACUAUCGUUAACUGAAUACAUAGGUUAACGAGGCGAACCGGGGGAACUGAAACAUCUAAGUACCCCGAGGAAAAGAAAUCAACCGAGAUUCCCCCAGUAGCGGCGAGCGAACGGGGAGCAGCCCAGAGUCUGAAUCAGCUUGUGUGUUAGUGGAACGGUCUGGAAAGUCCGACGGUACAGGGUGAUAGUCCCGUACACCAAAAUGCACAGGCUGUGAACUCGAAGAGUAGGGCGGGACACGUGGUAUCCUGUCUGAAUAUGGGGGGACCAUCCUCCAAGGCUAAAUACUCCUGACUGACCGAUAGUGAACCAGUACCGUGAGGGAAAGGCGAAAAGAACCCCGGCGAGGGGAGUGAAAAAGAACCUGAAACCGUGUACGUACAAGCAGUGGGAGCACCUUCGGGUGUGACUGCGUACCUUUUGUAUAAUGGGUCAGCGACUUAUAUUCUGUAGCAAGGUUAACCGUAUAGGGGAGCCGCAGGGAAACCGAGUCUUAACUGGGCGUUAAGUUGCAGGGUAUAGACCCGAAACCCGGUGAUCUAGCCAUGGGCAGGUUGAAGGUUGGGUAACACUAACUGGAGGACCGAACCGACUAAUGUUGAAAAAUUAGCGGAUGACUUGUGGCUGGGGGUGAAAGGCCAAUCAAACCGGGAGAUAGCUGGUUCUCCCCGAAAGCUAUUUAGGUAGCGCCUCGUGAAUUCAUCUUCGGGGGUAGAGCACUGUUUCGGCUAGGGGGUCAUCCCGACUUACCAACCCGAUGCAAACUACGAAUACCGAAGAAUGUUAUCACGGGAGACACACGGCGGGUGCUAACGUCCGUCGUGAAGAGGGAAACAACCCAGACCGCCAGCUAAGGUCCCAAAGUCAUGGUUAAGUGGGAAACGAUGUGGGAAGGCACAGACAGCCAGGAUGUUGGCUUAGAAGCAGCCAUCAUUUAAAGAAAGCGUAAUAGCUCACUGGUCGAGUCGGCCUGCGCGGAAGAUGUAACGGGGCUAAACCAUGCACCGAAGCUGCGGCAGCGACACUAUGUGUUGUUGGGUAGGGGAGCGUUCUGUAAGCCUGCGAAGGUGUGCUGUGAGGCAUGCUGGAGGUAUCAGAAGUGCGAAUGCUGACAUAAGUAACGAUAAAGCGGGUGAAAAGCCCGCUCGCCGGAAGACCAAGGGUUCCUGUCCAACGUUAAUCGGGGCAGGGUGAGUCGACCCCUAAGGCGAGGCCGAAAGGCGUAGUCGAUGGGAAACAGGUUAAUAUUCCUGUACUUGGUGUUACUGCGAAGGGGGGACGGAGAAGGCUAUGUUAGCCGGGCGACGGUUGUCCCGGUUUAAGCAUGUAGGCUGGUUGUCCAGGCAAAUCCGGAUAAUCAAGGCUGAGGUGUGAUGACGAGGCACUACGGUGCUGAAGUAACAAAUGCCCUGCUUCCAGGAAAAGCCUCUAAGCAUCAGGUAACAUCAAAUCGUACCCCAAACCGACACAGGUGGUCAGGUAGAGAAUACCAAGGCGCUUGAGAGAACUCGGGUGAAGGAACUAGGCAAAAUGGUGCCGUAACUUCGGGAGAAGGCACGCUGGUGUGUAGGUGAAGUCCCUGCGGAUGGAGCUGAGACCAGUCGAAGAUACCAGCUGGCUGCAACUGUUUAUUAAAAACACAGCACUGUGCAAACACGAAAGUGGACGUAUACGGUGUGACGCCUGCCCGGUGCCGGAAGGUUAAUUGAUGGGGUUAUCCGUAAGGAGAAGCUCUUGAUCGAAGCCCCGGUAAACGGCGGCCGUAACUAUAACGGUCCUAAGGUAGCGAAAUUCCUUGUCGGGUAAGUUCCGACCUGCACGAAUGGCGUAAUGAUGGCCAGGCUGUCUCCACCCGAGACUCAGUGAAAUUGAACUCGCUGUGAAGAUGCAGUGUACCCGCGGCAAGACGGAAAGACCCCGUGAACCUUUACUAUAGCUUGACACUGAACAUUGAGCCUUGAUGUGUAGGAUAGGUGGGAGGCUUUGAAGCGUGGACGCCAGUCUGCGUGGAGCCAACCUUGAAAUACCACCCUUUAAUGUUUGAUGUUCUAACGUUGGCCCCUGACCGGGGUUGCGGACAGUGUCUGGUGGGUAGUUUGACUGGGGCGGUCUCCUCCCAAAGCGUAACGGAGGAGCACGAAGGUUAGCUAAUCCUGGUCGGACAUCAGGAGGUUAGUGCAAUGGCAUAAGCUAGCUUGACUGCGAGCGUGACGGCGCGAGCAGGUGCGAAAGCAGGUCAUAGUGAUCCGGUGGUUCUGAAUGGAAGGGCCAUCGCUCAACGGAUAAAAGGUACUCCGGGGAUAACAGGCUGAUACCGCCCAAGAGUUCAUAUCGACGGCGGUGUUUGGCACCUCGAUGUCGGCUCAUCACAUCCUGGGGCUGAAGUAGGUCCCAAGGGUAUGGCUGUUCGCCAUUUAAAGUGGUACGCGAGCUGGGUUUAGAACGUCGUGAGACAGUUCGGUCCCUAUCUGCCGUGGGCGCUGGAGAAUUGAGGGGGGCUGCUCCUAGUACGAGAGGACCGGAGUGGACGCAUCACUGGUGUUCGGGUUGUCAUGCCAAUGGCACUGCCCGGUAGCUAAAUGCGGAAGAGAUAAGUGCUGAAAGCAUCUAAGCACGAAACUUGCCCCGAGAUGAGUUCUCCCUGAGACUUUAAGUCUCCUGAAGGAACGUUGAAGACGACGACGUUGAUAGGCCGGGUGUGUAAGCGCAGCGAUGCGUUGAGCUAACCGGUACUAAUGAACCGUGAGGCUUAACCUUACAACGCCGAAG